UUAAAAUAAAUGGUAUUGUUUAACAGCGUGAUUAAUCAUGAUUAAUUUUUUUAAUCGCUUGACAGCCCUAAUUUGAAAUAGGAGAGAGUGAAAAAAUGAGGCUGUGCAGUAAAGAAUCCAAGUGCAAGAUAACUACAUACUGUACAUGUGGCACCACAAUUCAAACUUUUACUACCGGCCCGAUCCAAAGGCCAUAGAAGUCAGGAAGAAUUUUUCCAGUGACUUCAACUCACUAUCGGCUUCAUUCUAAGACUAGUGAAGGAGCAGUUCCAGGAAUUUAGCCACUAGAGGGAAGGUUUUGUACAUGAAUGGGACCAUCGUAUUGCUAAUAUUAAUCGGUGGCACAACAGGCUCUAGAGGCACAGAUGAAUCCAAAAUACCCCUACUUGGAAGCACUUUUCAAAUAUUCAAACUGAAUUAUGGUCUUUGUUCUCCUGCCCUCUCUCUCAACAUAAAUGUAUUGUGAGAUACUGUUGUGUAAUGACAUUUAGUUUAAUUCAUGGGUGUGCAACAUAACAGAUAGUUCUAGUUAUCAAUUAGUCACUCAAGUCUGUUUCAUCCCAUGGAGAUUUCAAAUCAUGAAGACCCAAUGCAAUGCACAUUGAAGCCAAUGGCUGUCUUUUACUGAUUUAAAUGGUGUCUAAUCAGACCCUGAUCUAUAAGAAUUUUUAGUCAAAACGAAGGGGUUAUGUCAGAAUCUCUUAAUUGUUUAUUAAGCAGCAAAAGUUCUUUGGUUUCUUCACAGGUUUGGCACACAUUCUCACUAUUUAAGAGUAUAAAUGGGUGUUAGCUGAGCAGUAGCAUUAUGUAUGGCUAUGUGGGAAAAUUAAGUUCUGUUUCUGUUCUUGCAUGGUCUCACACAACUUUGAAGCCUUUUCUACUAGAGAAUUGCUUGGUUGCAACUUGGCCUAGUAUGAUUGAGUGUUCACAUUAGGUUUCCUGCUUCAGGUGCACAUAGUAUACUAUAUCUGCACAGAACACUCUCUGCAAAUGUUGUGGGACCUGUGCAUUGUUUCACCAAACCUGCAGUUCCAGGUAUAGUACCCUAGAUCAGAUGCAUAAUGUCUGAUAUUUAAGGCCUGGUUCACUGUUUUGUAGUCAUUUACGCCAGAGCAAAAUGAGUUUAAGCAGUUAUGAAAUCAAAGGGUAGUAUUUUACACUUACUUUACACUGGGUAAAUAACUAAGUAAGGUGCUGGGAAAUGGAGAAUCAGAGCCAUGACGUCUAGAUCCACUACUUCAUAUUUUUUGUUCGUACUAUUGCCUAUUUCAGAUGGCUCUGUCCUGCUGCAAGCCCAAGGAUUGAGUUGGGAAUUGACCAAAGUUCACAGGGAGCACAUCCUUCCAUGAUGACCAAUCUGUGCUCUUCCUGCUAAGGCAGUGGAAUUCUCAGGCCAUGCAGCUAUUUUUUUUUGGUGGGGAUGGAAAGAUGAAGAAUGAGCGCUGGUGUAGCUUGGAGAGGUAAAUGGAUUUACUAGGGGGGUGGUAAAGAAGGUGGAAUAGCUUUGCUGUUAGCCUUUAACUACUAGCCCUCUGUCCUUAUGCUCUUUUUUUCAGAUCUCCAGGGUGGGAGCAGAAUGGCUGGUGCAGCAAAGCCUCAGUAAAG